rnacentral:rRNA from 1 species
UUUAAAAUAAUUUAAAUUAAUAUAGGUAUUUUACCUUUUGCAUCAUGAUUUAAUGAAUAUUUUUUUAUAAUAAAAUUUUUCGAAAAAAUAAGAUUUUUAAAAUAUCUAAAAAAUAAGUAAUUUUUUUAAAAAAUUUUAAAGAAGUGAUAAAUUAAUCGUUUAUUUUUAUAACUAAUUAAAGUAUUAAAAUUUUAAAAAUAUUUUUUAUUAAGAGAUAAAAAAUAACAUAUUAUAUUGUAUUAUAUACUAAAAAUAAGAGAUUAAAAUUAUCUUAUUAUAAAAUUUUAUUAAAAAAUCAAAAUAAUAUAAAAAUUAUAUUAAAUUUUACUUUAAAUAAAUUUUUUAAAAAAUAAUAUGUUAAAAUAAGUAGUUAUAAUAAUAAUUAUUAUUCUCAUUUUAAUUCGAUAUGUUUAUUAAAAACAUUUUUACUUUUAUAUAUAAGUAAUAAGGCCUGCUAAAUGGGAGUAUAUUAAUAGCCGCAGUAUUUUGACUGGGCUAAGGUAGCAUAAUUAUUUGCUUUUUAAAUAAAAGAUUGUUUGAAUGGUUUGAUUGAGUUAAUGAAAAAAAAUUAUUUAAAUUAAUUUAGAAUCUUUAUACAGAUCUAAAGAUAUAAAUUUAAGAUGGAAAGACCCUAAGAGUUUUAAUUAAUAAAUUUAUUUGGGGUAAAAUUUUAUAAAUUAUAAAUAUUAAGAUUUAUGAUUAUUGAUUAAGUUACCUUAGGGAUAACAGGGUUAGAAAUAAAGAGAGUUCUUAUCAAUUUAUUUAAUUGCCACCUCGAUGUUGACUUAAAAAAUCUUAUUAAUGCAGAAGUUAAUUAAGAAGGCCUGUUCGGCCUUUAAAUUUUUUUAUGAGUUGAGUUUAGACCGAUGUAAAUCAGGUUAGUUCUUAUCUAAAAUUCUAUUUUAUUAGUACGAAAGGAUUAUAAAAUUUUUAAUUUAAUUAAAUAUUA